AGGAUCAUUGAGAAGAUGGCAUACCAAGUAGUGAAGCCAGCAAAGGCUGGUUUGGAUGAGCCUUAGGAGUAGGUUUUCUCCAAAAACAUUGAAGAGUUGCUGUCUUUUCGAUGACUAUCCAUCUUUCUCCAUCUUUUCAUUCCUCUUCUGGGUCUCUUUUUUUUUUUUAUCAAUCUCUUUUUUGCUUUUAAUUUUUGUCUUUUUUUCUUCUAUUACCAGAAGAAAAUAUCAUAUCAUCUUAUUGUUU
rnacentral:lncRNA from 1 species